AUCAACGCUGGCGGCGCGCUUAACACAUGCAAGUCGCACGAGAAAGGGGGCAACCCUGAGUACAGUGGCGUACGGGUGAGUAACACGUGGAUCAUCUACCUUCUAGUGGGGGAAUACCCCUGGGAAACCGGGGGAUAAUUCCGCAUAAGCUCGUGAGAGGAGAAGCCGAAAGGCGCUGGAAGAGGAGUCCGCGGCUGAUUAGCUAGUUGGCGGGGUAAGUGGCCCACCAAGGCGAAGGAUCGGUAGCCGGCCUGAGAGGGCACACGGCCACACUGGCACUGAAACACGGGCCAGACUCCUACGGGAGGCAGCAGUGGGGAAUCUUGCACAAUGGAGGAAACUCUGAUGCAGCGACGCCGCGUGGAGCGAUGAAGCCCUUCGGGGUGUAAGCUCUUUCGACGGGAACGAUAAUGACGGUACCCGGAGAAGAAGCUGCGGCUAACUACGUGCCAGCAGCCGCGGUAAUACGUAGGCAGCGAGCGUUGUUCGGAAUUACUGGGCGUAAAGAGUGUGUAGGCGGUGCUCUAAGUCUGUGUGAAAUCUCCCGGCUCAACUGGGAGGGUGCGCCGGAAACUGGGGUGCUGGAGUGUGGGAGAGGUAAGCGGAAUUCCUGGUGUAGCGGUGAAAUGCGUAGAUAUCAGGAGGAACACCUGUGGUGUAGACAGCUUACUGGACCACGACUGACGCUGAGACACGAAAGCGUGGGUAGCAAACAGGAUUAGAUAUCCCGGUAGUCCACGCCGGUAAACGAUGGGUACUAGGCAUUGGAACUUUCGACAGUUCAGUGUCGUAAGCUAACGCGUUAAGUACCUCGCCUGGGAAGUACGGCCGCAAGGCUAAAAACUCAAAGGAAUUGACGGGAAACCGCACAAGCGGUGGAUCACGUGGUUUAAUUCGAUACUGAGCGAAGAACCUUACCAAGGCUUGAAAUCUAGCUGCACGCUUCUGGAAAACAGAAGCUUCCUCGAGGGUGCUAGACAGGUGUUGCAUGGUUGUCGUCAGCUCGUGGCGUGAGCUGUUGGGUUAAGUCCCGCAACGAGCGCAACCCUUGCCCUGUGUUGAAAUCUCACAGGGGACUGCCGGCGUAUAGUCGGAGGAAGGCGAGGAUGACGUCAAAUCCGCAUGGCCCUCUGAUGCCUUGGGCUACACGCGGUGAUACAAUGGCCGAUACAAAGGGACGCGAACCGUAAGGCGAGGCAAAUCCAUCAAAGUCGGUCCCAGUUCGAAUCGAGGGCUGCAACUCGCCCUCGUGAAGCCGGAAUCGCUAGUAACCGUGGGUCAGCCAUACCACGGUGAAUACGUUCUCGGGUUUUGUACACACCGCCCGUCAAGUCAAGAAAGCCAGCAACACUCAAAGACGCAUGUAUGUGCGUUCAAGGUGGGGGCUGGUGAUCGGGGCUAAGUCGUAACAAGGUAA
rnacentral:rRNA from 1 species